rnacentral:rRNA from 1 species
AAAGCGUGCGUAGGUGGUCUUUUAAGUCGGAUGUGAAAUCCCUGAGCUUAACUUAGGAAUUGCAUUCGAUACUGGGAGACUAGAGUAUGGGAGAGGAUGGUAGAAUUCCAGGUGUAGCGGUGAAAUGCGUAGAGAUCUGGAGGAAUACCGAUGGCGAAGGCAGCCAUCUGGCCUAAUACUGACACUGAGGCACGAAAGCAUGGGGAGCAAACAGGAUUAGAUACCCUGGUAGUCCAUGCCGUAAACGAUGUCUACUAGCCGUUGGGGCCUUUGAGGCUUUAGUGGCGCAGCUAACGCGAUAAGUAGACCGCCUGGGGAGUACGGUCGCAAGACUAAAACUCAAAUGAAUUGACGGGGGCCCGCACAAGCGGUGGAGCAUGUGGUUUAAUUCGAUGCAACGCGAAGAACCUUACCUGGUCUUGACAUAGUAAGAACUUUCCAGAGAUGGAUUGGUGCCUUCGGGAGCUUGCAUACAGGUGCUGCAUGGCUGUCGUCAGCUCGUGUCGUGAGAUGUUGGGUUAAGUCCCGCAACGAGCGCAACCCUUUUCCUUAUUUGCCAGCACUUCGGGUGGGAACUUUAAGGAUACUGCCAGUGACAAACUGGAGGAAGGCGGGGACGACGUCAAGUCAUCAUGGCCCUUACGACCAGGGCUACACACGUGCUACAAUGGUCAGUACAAAGGGUUGCUACCUCGCGAGAGGAUGCUAAUCUCAAAAAGCCGAUCGUAGUCCGGAUCGCAGUCUGCAACUCGACUGCGUGAAGUCGGAAUCGCUAGUAA